CCGGCUNGAGUGCGGUAGGGGAGGCUGGAAUUCCUGGUGUAGCGGUGGAAUGCGCAGAUAUCAGGAGGAACACCGGUGGCGAAGGCGGGUCUCUGGGCCGUGUACUGACGCUGAGGAGCGAAAGCGUGGGGAGCGAACAGGAUUAGAUACCCUGGUAGUCCACGCUGUAAACGUUGGGCACUAGGUGUGGGGGGUCUUUCCGGNUCUUCCGCGCCGUAGCUAACGCAUUAAGUGCCCCGCCUGGGGAGUACGGCCGCAAGGCUAAAACUCAAAGGAAUUGACGGGGGCCCGCACAAGCGGCGGAGCAUGCGGAUUAAUUCGAUGCAACGCGAAGAACCUUACCAAGGCUUGACAUGGGCCGGUGGUUCCCGGAGACGGGAGCGUCCCCUUUUUUGUGGGCUGGUUCACAGGUGGUGCAUGGUUGUCGUCAGCUCGUGUCGUGAGAUGUUGGGUUAAGUCCCGCAACGAGCGCAACCCUUGUCUCGUGUUGCCAGCACGUUGUGGUGGGGACUCGCGGGAGACUGCCGGGGUCAACUCGGAGGAGGGUGGGGAUGACGUCAAAUCAUCAUGCCCCUUAUGUCUUGGGCUUCACGCAUGCUACAAUGGCCGGUACAGUGGGUUGCGAUGUCGUGAGGCGGAGCGAAUCCCUGAAAGCCGGUCUCAGUUCGGGUCGGUGUCUGCAACUCGACACCGUGAAGUUGGAGUCGCUAGUAAUCGCAGAUCAGCAACGCUGCGGUGAAUACGUUCUCGGGCCUUGUACACACCGCCCGUCACGUCAUGAAAGUCGGCAACACCCGAAGCCCGUGGCCUUAUGGGGAGCGGUCG
rnacentral:rRNA from 1 species